rnacentral:rRNA from 1 species
AUACGGAGGGUGCAUGCGUUACUCGGAAUCACUGGGCGUAAAGCGCGCGCAGGCGGCUAUUUAAGUUGGAUGUGAAAGCCUACGGCUCAACCGUAGAACUGCAUCCAAAACUAUUUAGCUAGAGUGUGGGAGAGGAAGAUGGAAUUAGUCGUGUAGGGGUAAAAUCCGUAGAGAUAACUAGGAAUACCAAAAGCGAAGGCAAUCUUCUGGAACACUACUGACGCUGAGGCGCGAAAGCGUGGGGAGCAAACAGGAUUAGAUACCCUAGUAGUCC